UUAACUCAAAUUUGUAUGGAGUUGGAAAGCUUGAAUACGUUUGCCGCUAGGUGCGCUGUUCCAACUCCAUACAAAUUUGAGUUA
rfam:Bombyx mori DNA, contig: Bm_scaf5_contig4449, strain: p50T/Dazao, build 2, whole genome shotgun sequence.